UGGGCAACCUGCCCCUCUCUCUGGGAUAACCCCCGGGAAACCGGAGCUAAUACCGGAUACUCCGGCUGGAUCGCAUGGUCCGGCCGGGAAAGGUCCGCCGGAGAGGGAUGGGCCCGCGGCCUAUCAGCUUGUUGGUGGGGUCAUGGCUCACCAAGGCGACGACGGGUAGCUGGUCUGAGAGGGUGACCGGCCACACUGGGACUGAGAUACGGCCCAGACUCCUACGGGAGGCA
rnacentral:rRNA from 1 species